rnacentral:rRNA from 1 species
GACGAACGCUGGCGGCGUGCUUAACUCCCCCCCCCCCCCCCCCCCCCCCCUGCUUUUGUGGGGUGCUCGAGUGGCGAACGGGUGAGUAACACGUGAGUAACCUGCCCUUGACUUUGGGAUAACUUCAGGAAACUGGGGCUAAUACCGGAUAGGAGCUCCUGCUGCAUGGUGGGGGUUGGAAAGUUUCGGCGGUUGGGGAUGGACUCGCGGCUUAUCAGCUUGUUGGUGGGGUAGUGGCCUACCAAGGCUUUGACGGGUAGCCGGCCUGAGAGGGUGACCGGCCACAUUGGGACUGAGAUACGGCCCAGACUCCUACGGGAGGCAGCAGUGGGGAAUAUUGCACAAUGGGCGGAAGCCUGAUGCAGCAACGCCGCGUGCGGGAUGACGGCCUUCGGGUUGUAAACCGCUUUCGCCUGUGACGAAGCGUGAGUGACGGUAAUGGGUAAAGAAGCACCGGCUAACUACGUG